rnacentral:rRNA from 1 species
AUCGGGGUUGCGGACAGUGUCUGGUGGGUAGUUUGACUGGGGCGGUCUCCUCCUAAAGAGUAACGGAGGAGCACGAAGGUUGGCUAAUCCUGGUCGGACAUCAGGAGGUUAGUGCAAUGGCAUAAGCCAGCUUGACUGCGAGCGUGACGGCGCGAGCAGGUGCGAAAGCAGGUCAUAGUGAUCCGGUGGUUCUGAAUGGAAGGGCCAUCGCUCAACGGAUAAAAGGUACUCCGGGGAUAACAGGCUGAUACCGCCCAAGAGUUCAUAUCGACGGCGGUGUUUGGCACCUCGAUGUCGGCUCAUCACAUCCUGGGGCUGAAGUAGGUCCCAAGGGUAUGGCUGUUCGCCAUUUAAAGUGGUACGCGAGCUGGGUUUAGAACGUCGUGAGACAGUUCGGUCCCUAUCUGCCGUGGGCGCUGGAGAACUGAGGGGGGCUGCUCCUAGUACGAGAGGACCGGAGUGGACGCAUCACUGGUGUUCGGGUUGUCAUGCCAAUGGCACUGCCCGGUAGCUAAAUGCGGAAGAGAUAAGUGCUGAAAGCAUCUAAGCACGAAACUUGCCCCGAGAUGAGUUCUCCCUGACUCCCUGAGAGUCCUGAAGGAACGUUGAAGACGACGACGUUGAUAGGCCGGGUGUGUAAGCGCAGCGAUGCGUUGAGCUAACCGGUACUAAUGAACCGUGAGGCUUAACCUU